GGAUUUUGAUCUAAGUCUAACUUAAAAUUUUUGAUCCAAUUAUACCUAAUUAAAUCAGAUCUAAUCUAAAAUUAAUUAAAACAUAAAUUCAAUCUCUCACAAAUUUUUUGGAUCAUUGAUCAGAUCAUCAUCAUCCCCAAAAUUAAAUCUAAACCUCAUGUCUAGUGCUAGCUAGACAUAGUCAACUUGUUUAAUCCCAU
rnacentral:lncRNA from 1 species